CAAGAUGGGCAGCAAGACAAGCCUCUGGGAAAGGAAUGCACCAAGAGUGAAUCAAAUGGGAGGCCUUGUUCUCAGGAGGUUUGUACUCACACGCAAAUUAAAACAACAGGAAAAGUGCACUUCAAAUAGAGUAACUUGAAACAAGUAGGAUCUUUUGUGGCAAAAGAAAUGCAAUCAAAUAGCACACCUGCCCUUUCUUCUCAGCUGGGCUUUGGAAACUGUUUGCCAAGGUUCAGGUUUGGGUCACAUUAUUGACUUUUGAGGUCUCUACUCAGAUGUCAGACUCUGGGUAAGACUUUCUAGCCUCUUUCAUAUUUAGCACAAAUGGCAUGGGGGGUGGAAAGAGGAAACCAACUAUUUCUCUUUUUCUCAUUCAACAAGAAUUGUGCUCCACCACAUGGACGGUGAUACUUUCUCCUGCAUCACCAUUGGGUCAUUGGCACAAAGAAGCAGAAAGCAGGAGCUUCUGGUUGCGUGGGAUCCCUGACGUCAGUUACGCGGCCGCAGAACUUGCAAGGGAGUCGAAGCCAUGUUUGUACCUCUGACUGAGGAAGGAUUGAAAUCGACAACUUGGAGUUUUCACAAACUGCAGAGAAGACAGGUAUAUCAAAGAGCUGUCACUUCAUGGGUAACUCUGGCCUCCUGGUAGUAACAACCUAGAACCAUUGCAUUAUGGUACUCAGCUCUGGCUGAGUACCAGAGUUGUAAUGUAUACCGGGGCCUGCCAUGAGCCUGGCAUUGCAGAGGGAUGCACACAGAGCAUGCUAUGUAAACCCUACAUAGGGCGGUGGGUAGGGAUUCAGAACAUCUUGCUUCAGGGGAAUAUGAGAAAUGUGGUCACUUCAUACAUACUGAUGUUCUCCUACUUGUAUAUUCCUAGGUUGCUUUCCUUGCCAUAAUCCCAUCAAUUUCCAAAGAGUACAAAAGUCCUUGAAGAAAGAAGCCUAUAGCUGUCAAAAAGAUGCAGGAGUCAUCUCAGGUGAAAUACUCAUUUGCAAGUCAGUAGAAAAUCAAAGCACUCUCAGAAAAUAGAAUCCAUGAGUGAUAUGGGGGAAAAAAAAAGAAAACAAAGUGGCCAAACUUUCCUCCAGAACCACAGAAUGUGAUAUAAUCUCAAAAAUCUGCAGGUGUUUGGCUAUCAUCCUAAAUAGCCCUGCCUCCUUUUCUAUAGCAGCUCUUAGAGAUUUUUUUUUUUUUUUUUUUUGCAAGUGAUAAGGAGCAGGGGAAGGUUGUCUCAGUUCAGCUUUCCAGCAGUUGUUUCAUAAUACCUCUCUGCCAACAUGCACAUUGUUCCCUCUUAUUCUUUCUAGUCAAAGAGAGACCACAGUACAGGCUUCAGAAGCCUUUGUGUUUCUCUGUUUUUAAAUUUGGGAACAGCUGUAUCCCUUGCAGGCUAUUAUAAAGAUGCUGCCAAUGGCUACUAAGGCGCAUAAAUAAAGUAUUGUCUACAUAGAAAAUAUCCA
rnacentral:lncRNA from 12 species